CUACGGGACGCUCCAGUGAGGAAUAUUGCACAAUGGGGGGAACCCUGAUGCAGCAACGCCGCGUGGAGGAUGACGCAUUUCGGUGUGUAAACUCCUUUUAUAUGUCAAGAAAAUGACGGUAGCAUAUGAAUAAGCACCGGCUAACUCCGUGCCAGCAGCCGCGGUAAUACGGAGGGUGCAAGCGUUACUCGGAAUCACUGGGCGUAAAGGACGCGUAGGCGGGAUAUCAAGUCAGGUGUGAAAUCCUACAGCUUAACUGUAGAACUGCACUUGAAACUGGUAACCUAGAGUAUGGGAGGGGGAGAUGGAAUUAGUGGUGUAGGGGUAAAAUCCGUAGAUAUCACUAGGAAUACCUAAAGCGAAGGCGAUCUCCUGGAACAUAACUGACGCUAAGGCGUGAAAGCGUGGGGAGCAAACAGGAUUAGAUACCCCUGUAGUC
rnacentral:rRNA from 1 species